rnacentral:misc_RNA from 1 species
UCAAACUUGGUCAUUUAGAGGAAGUAAAAGUCGUAACAAGGUUUCCGUAGGUGAACCUGCGGAAGGAUCAUUAACAAAUUCCAAAUACUCGUGUUGUGUCCUGUGUUCCUCUGCUGGUGGCUGUUGGCAAGAAAGUGUGAACGACACUGACUUGUUUCAUGGUGCCAACCAGGGGACCGGAUAUUCACACUAUUUACACAACUUGAUUGACAACGACGGAUGUCCAUGUGUGUGUGCGUGUGUGUUGUUCAUCACUGAAUUGACAGUCAUGAACCCCACGGAUGCACCAUGGAAUUGCACCUCAAUGCAAAACAACUUUUAACAAUGGAUCUCUUGGCUCUUGCAUCGAUGAAGAACGCAGC